AUACGACGGGUGCAAGCGUUACUCGGGAUUACUGGGCGUAAAGCGUGCGUAGGUGGUUGUUUAAGUCUGUCGUGAAAGCCCUGGGCUCAACCUGGGAAUGGCGAUGGAAACUGGGCGACUAGAGUGUGGCAGAGGGUAGUGGAAUUCUUGGUGUAGCAGGGAAAUGCGUAGAGAUAAGGAGGAACAUCCGUGGCGAAGUCGACUGCCUGGGCCAACACUGACACUGAGGCACGAAAGCGUGGGGAGCAAACAGGAUUAGAUACCCUGGUAAUCCACGCCCUAAACGAUGCGAACUGGAUGUUGGGUGCAAUUUGGCACGCAGUAUCGAAGCUCACGCGUUAAGUUCGCCGCCUGGGGAGUACGGUCGCAAGACUGAAACUCAAAGGAAUCGACGGGG
rnacentral:rRNA from 1 species